UACGUAGGGCGCAAGCGUUGUCCGGAAUUAUUGGGCGUAAAGAGCUCGUAGGCGGUUUGUCGCGUCUGCUGUGAAAACCUAAGGCUCAACCUUGGGCUUGCAGUGGGUACGGGCAGACUAGAGUGCGGUAGGGGUGACUGGAAUUCCUGGUGUAGCGGUGAAAUGCGCAGAUAUCAGGAGGAACACCGAUGGCGAAGGCAGGUCUCUGGGCAUUAACUGACGC
rnacentral:rRNA from 1 species